rnacentral:rRNA from 1 species
UUAAGCGACUAAGCGUACACGGUGGAUGCCCUGGCAGUCAGAGGCGAUGAAGGACGUGCUAAUCUGCGAAAAGCGUCGGUAAGGUGAUAUGAACCGUUAUAACCGGCGAUGUCCGAAUGGGGAAACCCAGUGCAAUUCGUUGCACUAUCGUUAACUGAAUACAUAGGUUAACGAGGCGAACCGGGGGAACUGAAACAUCUAAGUACCCCGAGGAAAAGAAAUCAACCGAGAUUCCCCCAGUAGCGGCGAGCGAACGGGGAGCAGCCCAGAGUCUGAAUCAGCUUGUGUGUUAGUGGAACGGUCUGGAAAGUCCGACGGUACAGGGUGAUAGUCCCGUACACCAAAAUGCACAGGCUGUGAACUCGAAGAGUAGGGCGGGACACGUGGUAUCCUGUCUGAAUAUGGGGGGACCAUCCUCCAAGGCUAAAUACUCCUGACUGACCGAUAGUGAACCAGUACCGUGAGGGAAAGGCGAAAAGAACCCCGGCGAGGGGAGUGAAAAAGAACCUGAAACCGUGUACGUACAAGCAGUGGGAGCACCUUCGGGUGUGACUGCGUACCUUUUGUAUAAUGGGUCAGCGACUUAUAUUCUGUAGCAAGGUUAACCGUAUAGGGGAGCCGCAGGGAAACCGAGUCUUAACUGGGCGUUAAGUUGCAGGGUAUAGACCCGAAACCCGGUGAUCUAGCCAUGGGCAGGUUGAAGGUUGGGUAACACUAACUGGAGGACCGAACCGACUAAUGUUGAAAAAUUAGCGGAUGACUUGUGGCUGGGGGUGAAAGGCCAAUCAAACCGGGAGAUAGCUGGUUCUCCCCGAAAGCUAUUUAGGUAGCGCCUCGUGAAUUCAUCUUCGGGGGUAGAGCACUGUUUCGGCUAGGGGGUCAUCCCGACUUACCAACCCGAUGCAAACUACGAAUACCGAAGAAUGUUAUCACGGGAGACACACGGCGGGUGCUAACGUCCGUCGUGAAGAGGGAAACAACCCAGACCGCCAGCUAAGGUCCCAAAGUCAUGGUUAAGUGGGAAACGAUGUGGGAAGGCACAGACAGCCAGGAUGUUGGCUUAGAAGCAGCCAUCAUUUAAAGAAAGCGUAAUAGCUCACUGGUCGAGUCGGCCUGCGCGGAAGAUGUAACGGGGCUAAACCAUGCACCGAAGCUGCGGCAGCGACACUAUGUGUUGUUGGGUAGGGGAGCGUUCUGUAAGCCUGCGAAGGUGACCUGUGAGGGUUGCUGGAGGUAUCAGAAGUGCGAAUGCUGACAUAAGUAACGAUAAAGCGGGUGAAAAGCCCGCUCGCCGGAAGACCAAGGGUUCCUGUCCAACGUUAAUCGGGGCAGGGUGAGUCGACCCCUAAGGCGAGGCCGAAAGGCGUAGUCGAUGGGAAACAGGUUAAUAUUCCUGUACUUGGUGUUACUGCGAAGGGGGACGGAGAAGGCUAUGUUAGCCGGGCGACGGUUGUCCCGGUUUAAGCAUGUAGGCUGGUUGUCCAGGCAAAUCCGGAUAAUCAAGGCUGAGGUGUGAUGACGAGGCACUACGGUGCUGAAGUAACAAAUGCCCUGCUUCCAGGAAAAGCCUCUAAGCAUCAGGUAACAUCAAAUCGUACCCCAAACCGACACAGGUGGUCAGGUAGAGAAUACCAAGGCGCUUGAGAGAACUCGGGUGAAGGAACUAGGCAAAAUGGUGCCGUAACUUCGGGAGAAGGCACGCUGGUGUGUAGGUGAAGUCCCUGCGGAUGGAGCUGAGACCAGUCGAAGAUACCAGCUGGCUGCAACUGUUUAUUAAAAACACAGCACUGUGCAAACACGAAAGUGGACGUAUACGGUGUGACGCCUGCCCGGUGCCGGAAGGUUAAUUGAUGGGGUUAUCCGUAAGGAGAAGCUCUUGAUCGAAGCCCCGGUAAACGGCGGCCGUAACUAUAACGGUCCUAAGGUAGCGAAAUUCCUUGUCGGGUAAGUUCCGACCUGCACGAAUGGCGUAAUGAUGGCCAGGCUGUCUCCACCCGAGACUCAGUGAAAUUGAACUCGCUGUGAAGAUGCAGUGUACCCGCGGCAAGACGGAAAGACCCCGUGAACCUUUACUAUAGCUUGACACUGAACAUUGAGCCUUGAUGUGUAGGAUAGGUGGGAGGCUUUGAAGCGUGGACGCCAGUCUGCGUGGAGCCAACCUUGAAAUACCACCCUUUAAUGUUUGAUGUUCUAACGUUGGCCCCUUACCGGGGUUGCGGACAGUGUCUGGUGGGUAGUUUGACUGGGGCGGUCUCCUCCCAAAGCGUAACGGAGGAGCACGAAGGUUAGCUAAUCCUGGUCGGACAUCAGGAGGUUAGUGCAAUGGCAUAAGCUAGCUUGACUGCGAGCGUGACGGCGCGAGCAGGUGCGAAAGCAGGUCAUAGUGAUCCGGUGGUUCUGAAUGGAAGGGCCAUCGCUCAACGGAUAAAAGGUACUCCGGGGAUAACAGGCUGAUACCGCCCAAGAGUUCAUAUCGACGGCGGUGUUUGGCACCUCGAUGUCGGCUCAUCACAUCCUGGGGCUGAAGUAGGUCCCAAGGGUAUGGCUGUUCGCCAUUUAAAGUGGUACGCGAGCUGGGUUUAGAACGUCGUGAGACAGUUCGGUCCCUAUCUGCCGUGGGCGCUGGAGAAUUGAGGGGGGCUGCUCCUAGUACGAGAGGACCGGAGUGGACGCAUCACUGGUGUUCGGGUUGUCAUGCCAAUGGCACUGCCCGGUAGCUAAAUGCGGAAGAGAUAAGUGCUGAAAGCAUCUAAGCACGAAACUUGCCCCGAGAUGAGUUCUCCCUGAGACUUUAAGUCUCCUGAAGGAACGUUGAAGACGACGACGUUGAUAGGCCGGGUGUGUAAGCGCAGCGAUGCGUUGAGCUAACCGGUACUAAUGAACCGUGAGGCUUAACCU